rnacentral:rRNA from 1 species
UUCCAGACUCCUACGGGAGGCAGCAGUGGGGAAUAUUGCACAAUGGGGGAAACCCUGAUGCAGCAACGCCGCGUGAGUGAAGAAGUAUUUCGGUAUGUAAAGCUCUAUCAGCAGGGAAGAAAAUGACAGUACCUGACUAAGAAGCCCCGGCUAACUACGUGCCAGCAGCCGCGGUAAUACGUAGGGGGCAAGCGUUAUCCGGAUUUACUGGGUGUAGAGGGAGCGUAGACGGCAGCGCAAGUCUGAAGUGAAAUGCCGGGGCUUAACCCCGGAACUGCUUUGGAAACUGAGCAGCUAGAGUGCAGGAGAGGUAAGUGGAAUUCCUAGUGUAGCGGUGAAAUGCGUAGAUAUUAGGAGGAACACCAGUGGCGAAGGCGGCUUACUGGACGAUGACUGACGCUGAGGCUCGAAAGCGUGGGGAGCAAACAGGAUUAGAUACCCCAGUAGAA